GCUUGUAUAGUUCAAUUGGUAGAACAGUGGUUUUGUAAGCCUCAGACGUGGGUUCAAGUCCUACUACAAGCAUAGCUUACU
rnacentral:tRNA from 1 species